UAGAGUUUGAUCAUGGCUCAGAUUGAACGCUGGCGGCAGGCCUAACACAUGCAAGUCGAGCGGUAACAUGCCUUCGGGUGAUGACGAGCGGCGGACGGGUGAGUAAUGCUUGGGGAUCUGCCCGAUGGCGGGGGACAACCACUGGAAACGGUGGCUAAUACCGCAUAAUGUCUACGGACCAAAGUGUGGGACCUUCGGGCCACACGCCAUCGGAUGAACCCAAGUGAGAUUAGCUAGUUGGUGGGGUAAAGGCUCACCAAGGCGACGAUCUCUAGCUGGUUUGAGAGGAUGAUCAGCCACACUGGGACUGAGACACGGCCCAGACUCCUACGGGAGGCAGCAGUGGGGAAUAUUGGACAAUGGGGGCAACCCUGAUCCAGCCAUGCCGCGUGUGUGAAGAAGGCCUUCGGGUUGUAAAGCACUUUCAGCGAGGAGGAAGGGUGGUGUUUUAAUAGAGCAUCAUUUGACGUACUCGCAGAAGAGACCCG
rnacentral:rRNA from 1 species